AGCUCAACUACUUGUUAGGUUAUGUUGACGUAGCUUCUCAAGGUAAUCAGCUUAGGUAUUUAUUUUUUAUUUUUUUUAUUGCCUUUGUAGGCAGACGAGCAUACGGCCCACCUGAUGGUGAGUGGUUACCGUCGCCCAUGGACUUCAGCAAUGCCAAGGGCAGAGACCAGCCGCUGACUACCGCUAGGUAGGAAAAUAAAAGCUAGAUUCAUCGAACCAGUAGAUGAACUCACCGGGCUCUAACCAGAGACGUUGGUAACAACAGCGCUAGAAAGAGCAGUGCUUCGCAAAGUUGUUUUUUCUCUCUACCUAAGCUGAUGGCCUUGAUAGGCAAUUUCAGCGUAACUCUAACAAGUAGGUGAGCCCACGGUGCUCAAACCUGAUGACGUUGCUAACAUUAACUCUAGCAAAAGCAGUGCUUCGCAGAAUCUACCACCGUAUCGGAAACGCGACCCAUUGAGAAGAUCCGGCGAGAAACUCAGUGGGCUGUGUCUGUGGGUUAAUUUACUCGCCGAGCUCUUCGUCGCAAGCAAAAGGUUCGACUUGUAUAGGUAUAGCAGUGGGGCAGAAAGUAAUGGCGUCAAGCAGUCUGGCUACACCACUGUGGAGGGGUUCGUCGUGGUCGUUGAUCGCACAUUCGACUCAGGAUAGCCGUCGGAGCACCGUGGUACGCAAGAAACGUACCUACAUCUCGACGACAACAUGGACUUUACUGGUGAAUCUACCACCGGAUCGGAAACGCGACCCACUGAGAAGAUCCUGCGAGAAACUCAGUGCGCUGUUUCUGUGGGUUAAUUUACUCGCCGAGCCCUUCGUCGCAAGCGACGGGUUCAACGACGACGGUGACCGGUGCUUGUGGUACCUAAAUGCACCGUUAAUGGAUCGGGAGGAUCCGUAAUGACGUGUUUUGGGUGACGUCGACUAUUUACCAUACGUUCUACAGGAUCGGCACUGCCAUUGACGAAGGGACUAAACCACAAGGUGGCACAUACAUGUAUGCCACGGACAACCACGGCUCAUAUUGUCAACGAACGCACGAUAUUAUCAAGUUUCCCGUGAAGGAGUUACUUGUGAUGGAAAUCUUGAGUACAAGAAAGAUCCAGCACCUGAUGGGCACAGAUGUGGUAUUUGCCCUACGUACUUCCAAAAAAUAUGUGCAUUUGACGCAAGCACCAAUAAUACAUUUAUAUUCGACAAUCACUGCGUUAUGGAUUUGUACAAUUGUUUACAAGGAACAGAAUUUGUUACUUUACAUUAUGAUAAAUGUCUUUAUUUCGGCAACUUUGCGUACGUUCACGGCUACAAAUAUGAAGAUUUAGACUACGGCGAAGACCAUAUCAUUGUGAAAGACACGGUCAAGAAUCCCGAUUUCGUUUAAUAAUUAAACAAGAAUUAUCCUGUUUU